rnacentral:rRNA from 1 species
GUGGGGAAUUUUGGACAAUGGGCGCAAGCCUGAUCCAGCAAUGCCGCGUGCAGGAAGAAGGCCUUCGGGUUGUAAACUGCUUUUGUACGGAACGAAACGGUCCGGGUUAAUACCCUGGGCUAAUGACGGUACCGUAAGAAUAAGCACCGGCUAACUUCGUGCCAGCAGCCGCGGUAAUACGAAGGGUGCAAGCGUUAAUCGGAAUUACUGGGCGUAAAGCGUGCGCAGGCGGUUUUGUAAGACAGGCGUGCAAUCCCCGGGCUCAACCUGGGAAUUGCGCUUGUGACUGCAAGGCUGGAGUGCGGCAGAGGGGGAUGGAAUUCCGCGUGUAGCAGUGAAAUGCGUAGAUAUGCGGAGGAACACCGAUGGCGAAGGCAAUCCCCUGGGCCUGCACUGACGCUCAUGCACGAAAGCGUGGGGAGCAAACAGGAUUAGAAACCCGUGUAGUCC